rnacentral:lncRNA from 1 species
UUUAUUUUGGUCAUGUAGAUAUAAGUCGCGCUGUUGUUUGUUUCUUAUGAUAUUUUCUUCUAAUAUUACUUGCUCUGUAGGAACAACCUGCUUUUGACAAAAGGCAGUUUGUUACCUUCAUGAAGCGCUACAUCAAGAACUUGACGCUCAAAUUGGACGAGGAGAAGCAGGAACUUUUUAAGAAGCACAUUGAGGGGGCCACCAAGUUCUUGCUCUCGAAGCUCAAGGACUUCCAAUUGUAUGUCCUUUAUGUUCUGGUUAUUUGUUCACCACUCUUCUACACUUUGAUAGUAUGAUUGCUCUCUCAAUGAAACCGAUUCGUAUAAUUUUUAAGGUUAAAUGUACAUACGGUCCCUAACAGUUUUAUGAAUUGCAAUUUAGUGUAACACAUUGAUUCCCAAGCAUGACCAUGACUUGAGUUUACAUUCAAAAUCUCUUCGACUUGUUAGUUUCACAGCUCCUACUAGGAAUAAUAUUGUGAGAAACUGGCUAUGUUUAAGGUAUUAUUGUCUUUUACAUUUUUAGCCCAAAUUGCAAUUUAUCGAGAGUUCAGGGCCUAUGCACAUGCUAUCAAUUUUGAAACAAUAAAUAGAACCCAAUACUUUUGGUGGUGAGUACUGAUCAUAUAUAUUAUAUAUUUUUUUCCUGCAGUUUUGUCGGCGAGAGCAUGCAUGACGAUGGUGGCUUGGUAUUUGCAUACUACAAAGAGGGAGCAACUGACCCGACAUUUUUAUACUUUGCCUAUGGAUUGAAGGAGGUCAAGUGCUAAAGAUGAUGAUGCCCCUCUAUUUCCGUAUUGCCCCAUGAAGACCUUGCUUGUUUUAUCCCUUUUUUUCUAAAAUUUCUUUUUGCCUCUUAUGCAUUGAACUAGUUUUAAUGAGUACUUGUUUGAUCUCGGGUUUAAUUUGAAUACUUUAUUGAGGAAUAAUGCUUUCUUGCUCUUUUUGAAUCCUUUCCGUAUCAGCUUUUUUUCUUUGUAGUGUCAUAAUUGGAUGGCCACUAUAAUUGGUUUUGUAGAUUUUCUUUUUGUGUGUGUGUGUGUGUGUGUGUGUGUGUGUGUGCGGAUUCUGUUUUCUCUUAUAUCACUUUGGUUAUGUCAUUCAAAACAAAUUUUUGAAUGACACAACAGCAGAAGGUUUAACCAAUCAAUGAAGAGGGUAACCGCAUUACCCUCUCUUUGGAUUAAAUGAAAUUUAAAAUUUGUUAAAAAUCAAUUGCUGAUAAUGCAUUUUUCUCUGUAUUACAAUCUGAACUUACAUCAUUAGUUGAUUUUCUUGCUCUCUCUUUGCCGCAAUGCAGUAAAAAUAGCACCUUUCGUGAUUUGGGUUCUUAUAAUUAGCUAGAUUUGUUCUUGCUGGCCAGUUUGAUGCCAUUUUGGUGUUCAGUGUGAUAUUCUUGUCUGUCUCAUUGUUCUCAGAUGAAGAGGUGAUAACUGUGAUUAGUUUAUUGGGAGCUAUUUUGUUUGGUGAAGAUUUAGUGGGCCGUUUUGGAAAUAAAUAGACGAAGGCUUGAUUCUGGUAGAGCCUUUUUCCGCAGGAUGCGAUGUUGCUGUUGUUUCUGCAGUUGAAGUUAGCAGUUUACUUUCGUCGUAAUUAUGCAACUCUGGAGUGAUGCAAAUUAGCCAAAUCUUAUGAUGAUUGUGCUCCUUCAGGCUUCCCAUCUGUACCAUUGCUUUUGUGCGAAAUGUUUAUUUUCGACAUCUUCUUGACAUAUAUUAUUACUAUUAUUAUGCACAUGAAGGGAAAGCCUUUAGUUGAAGCACGCAUCGCUGGUGAUAAAAAUCGGGAUUGGUUGUUGCUGACCAGGGAUGUCAAAUUCAAUUCCUUCAGGCUCCGUUUGGAUCGGGAAUUAGUAGGAACUAGUUAUACCGGGGACAGGUACAGGUAUGAGUUUUUAUAGGAAUAAGGGUAUUUUUUUGUUUGGAUGAAAUUGUGAGUAUAAGCUGGAACUAGAAAAAUUAUGUUUGGAUGGUUUUUGGAAAUAAGAGGAAUAGUUGGUAGUUAUAAAUAGAAAAUAAUAAUAUUAUCCCUAUAAUUGAAUUUUAAACUUAUAAUUUUAAAUUUUAACUUUUANCCCUAUAGGGAGGAAAUAUGGGUUUGUUUUUUUUUUACUACCCUUGUUCACAAGGGUGGUAUUGCCCAACAUAGACCAUAGACCAUGUUGGGCAAUACCCCUUAUCCCCCUUUUAUACCCGAGCCAAACGGAGUGUCAGUGAUAGUUACCUUUAUGAAAAUUGAGUUUUUCUUUCGGGCAUUUCGUAUUGUAUUAUCAUUGCUCUUUCAAAGCAUUUUGUUUUAACUAUUAAACGUCAUCUAGAUGUCUAGUUAAAGAUAUCAGUGUAAUUGUAGUAGCACCACAAUAUACUUCAUAGAUUUUUUGAACUUUUUAUACACUAUAUAUAUAUUUUUUUCAAAGGCAACUCUCAACCCUUUUUCUUUUUUUUUUUUCUAAUUUCUAUAUUAUUAUAAGUAAAAAAUUUAUAAUUUUGUAUAUAGAUUGUUAAAAAAUACUGAUUGAAAGUGUCGGAAUAUAUAAUUAGAGUUUGAGCUUAGACCCGCACCCAAUCUAUUCUAAUAGUUCUUUAUCUGUCCGAUUAGUAUCCCUUGUCGGUUGGUCCUGCUGCUAAUAUUUGAUAGAAAUUUUUAAUAAGGACAAAUAUAAUUUGUAUUUUUUUAUUAUUUAACUGGUAUUUUUUAUAAUAAAGUUGUUAGAUUUUAUUUGUAAUAACAGAUUUACUAACAGUAAUGGGUUAAGGAAAAUGCUAUUAAGCCUUUUAUAUAUCCUUCGCGGCGGGGCGAUUACGAAUCAGAGUCCAAUACACAGAAGCCAUCAUCGACCGCUCAUUCGGUAUAUACUACGAAUCCGUACCGAUCGAACGACGCAAAACAGAUAUCGACACGAACUCGGGUCAAAUUCUUGAGGUCUCCGUAGAAUACGCCGCGGAACACUAUACCGCGUCGAACUCCUCUACGGCUCUACAGCCCUUCGCCGCCCUAUAAACCCUCCCCUCCUCCCCUCUCGCCCUCCCACAAAUCCUCCUCACUUCUUUUUAGGGCUCCGAAUUUUCGGGAUUUAAUUUAAUCUUUUGGGCCUUUUUUCGGAGGAGGAAUCAUGCUCGUCUACCAGGAUCUGCUCACCGGUAUGAUUUGCUUCCGAAUUUGGGGAUUUUGUGCCGUAAACCGUUUUGAUUUCUUUCGUUUUCUUUGGUGAAAUUAGUGGGUUUGGUGAUGGUUGGCUUUUAGAUCGGAAGCAAAGUUUGGAUUUUGGGCGUCUUAAUCUAGAAGUUGGUGCUAUUUUACUGUUUUUGUAUUAUUUUGCAGAGCUUGCUUCCUUUUUUGGGGAUAAUUGUGCGUAGAAUUUUCUUAUUUAUGAUGAAAAUUGACGGUUUUGGUAUUCAGUAGUCCUAGAUCUGUAGGAGAGAUUGUAUUUUGGGCGAUUUAAACCUGAAGUGGUGCUAUUCGAGUAUCAAUUUUUUGGUAUGUUGCGGAGUUUGCCUUCUAUUAGUUUUGGUUAUGUUCAACGUUCAGAGAAUUUUUGUGAAUCGCAAUAUUUUUUUUCUUUUAUGCUUCGGCAUGAUUUGUGAGACAAGCUAAUAGAAUUUGGAAAUUAUUUAGUUGAUGUGGAUGAGAUUCCUGAAAUUGGUGUUUAAUGCCCUAAUACUUUUGAGUCUUGUGUAUUGAUUGUGGGUGUGGAUUAUCUUACUUGAUUGGUGUUAUUUUGAUUUAUUUUGAAAAGCUUCAUAUUUGAGUUUUAACUACCGUAAUGCUGCAUAAAUCCCCUCGUAGGUAACAAAAUUUGAUGAUGUAUGGAUUGUAGCUCGUGUGUGCUUGUGCGCGAUCUAAAUAUUUGAUUACAGUUAUGAAGUGUGAAUUUAAAAUAUUUGAUUACGGUUAUGAAGUGUGAAUUUAUGGGAAAAAUAUUUUUUGGUGGCUUAAUGUUUAGUUAAGAUAAUUUUGUGCAUAUUGUAAUUCAGAUGCCUUGUUUUACUAAUUACCUCUUUCUUUGCUUUGUAACAAACUAUGCAAUGAAACUUUAGCUGGUUUUAGUGGCCUCACGAAUUUAUUUUGAUUGUGGACAUUGUACUUCUCUGGAUGGUUUAUGUAGAGUGUUGGAUAUACAAGAAGAUCCACUUGUCAUCUGGUCCUUUAUUACACUUACUUGCUGCUUGAACAUUGUGUAUGGCGUGAGAUUGAGAUCACACGUUCUAUUCUUGUCAUUGGUUGCUAAUAAACUGAUGCUAUACUUGUAUGUACUCUCUGUUACUUGCUAAUGAUAUAUAGUUUGGAUCAUUUGAUAGGUGAUGAGCUCCUUUCAGACUCGUUCACCUACAAGGAGAUUGAAAAUGGGAUGUUGUGGGAAGUUGAGGGGAAGGUCAGUAUUACAUUAGACCUUUUCUCCUUUCCCCCUACCUUUUUCUAUUUUUCAAGUUUUUUUCUGGGGACAUUCACAAACUGAUUUUUUUUUUUCUGAAUUAAUGUCAUCUGUACUCCUAAAUUGGUGCUUAGUUCUUUCUAAUGUUAUCAGCAAAUGAUUUUACCAUACAUUCCAUAACAUGAGAUAACUACUCGAAUAUUGCAGUGCAUCACUACUGGGGGAGCUUGGUAAUGAAUUUAAAUGUACUAAUAGUCAGCAGACUAACAUAUUAAUCUAUUGGCAGUGGGUUGUUCAAGGAGCCGUCAGUGUAGACAUUGGUGCAAACCCUUCUGCAGAAGGUGGGGAAGAAGAUGAAGGGGUUGAUGAUCAGGCUGUGAAGGUGGUUGAUAUUGUCGACACCUUCAGACUUCAGGUUGUUUCUUCUCUUUCAUUGAAUGAAACUUCUUUUUUUUUUGGUAACUUUUAUUUUGGUCAUGUAGACGUAUGCCACACUGUUGUUUGUUUCUUAUUAUAUUUUCUUCUAAUAUUACUUGAUCUGUAGGAACAACCUGCUUUUGACAAAAAGCAGUUUGUUACCUUCAUGAAGCGCUACAUCAAGAACUUGACGCCCAAAUUGGACGAGGAGAAGCAGGAACUUUUUAAGAAGCACAUUGAGGGGGCUACCAAGUUCUUGCUCUCGAAGCUCAAGGACUUCCAAUUGUAUGUCCUUUAUGUUCUGGUUAUUUGUUCACCACUCUUUUACACUUUGAUAGUAUGAUUGCUCUCUCAAUGAAACUGAUCCGUAUAAUUUUUAAGGUUAAAUGUACAUACGGUCCCUGACAGUUUUAUGAAUUGCAAUUUAGUGUAACACAUUGAUUCCCAAGCAUGACGGUGCUUGAGUUUACAUUCAAAAUCUCUUCGACUUGUUAGUUUCAUAGCUCCUUCUAGGAAUAAUAUUGUGAGAAACUGGCGACGUUUAAGGUAUUAUUGUCUUUUAAAUUUUUAGCCCAAAUUGCAAUUUAUCGAGAGUUCAGGGCCUAUGCACAUGCUACCAAUUUUGAAACAAUAAAUAGAACCCAAUACUUUUGGUGGUGAGUACUGAUCAUAUAUAU